GAGUUUGAUCGUGGCUCAGAGUGAACGCUGGCGGUAGGCCUAACACAUGCAAGGCGAACGGCAGCACAGUAAGAGCUUGCUCUUACGGGUGGCGAGUGGCGGACGGGUGAGGAAUACAUCGGAAUCUACUUUUUCGUGGGGGAUAACGUAGGGAAACUUACGCUAAUACCGCAUACGACCUACGGGUGAAAGCAGGGGAUCUUCGGACCUUGCGCGAUUGAAUGAGCCGAUGUCGGAUUAGCUAGUUGGCGGGGUAAAGGCCCACCAAGGCGGCGAUCCGUAGCUGGUCUGAGAGGAUGAUCAGCCACACUGGAACUGAGACACGGUCCAGACUCCUACGGGAGGCAGCAGUGGGGAAUAUUGGACAAUGGGCGCAAGCCUGAUCCAGCCAUACCGCGU
rnacentral:rRNA from 1 species